GGAAGUGUUGAUACUCUUGAAUAUAAGGAGGGAAAAGUCGGUAAAGAGGAGACAGUGAGAUUGUGACGUCAGAGAUCGCGCGAAAGGAGUGCAGAAGUGAAGGCGAAGGGGUUAAAAAAAAAUGCUAACCUCCACGGUCUAGACAGAGAAUACAUUUAUUUUUAUUGUUCCACAUUAGUGCAAUCUGGACAGACUGUGAUUAAAAUAUUUCCAGGAAAAAGAAAAGGUUACAUACAGAUUCUUUUGGAUGAAAAAUUGCAAAUAGCGCAAUGAUCUCGUUUGGCUGUCACGUGAUCUUAGUUCUUUUGGUUCUGAUUGGCUCGCUGGUCGCUGCCUCUGCAGCAGACAUUCUGGAUGCUUUCGAGUCAAGGACGUUCACCAAUAGUGCUGUGAUAAUCAUGCUACUCAGGGAGCAGUGCUUACGCCUGUAUCAGCAAGGGGGAGUUGCCGCACUUCCUACAUAUUGCUACACUGUUAUUGGAUGAAAACAAAGACCUAAACAGCGAAACAAAACAAACUUUUUUGCUCAACUGCUACACAUUCUAAAAAAGACUGACAAAUUUUCCUGUAGGGAAAAAAUCUAAAACGGAAUGGACACUAAGACAGAAAUCAAUUAUAUUGAAACAUAUUCUCUCUAUAUAGUUAUAGACAUUUACAGUAGUUUGUAAUAUAUUAUUUAUAUAACUAAGUAGCAGACGAUUUAUUGUGACAUAGUUGCUUGUAUCAAAGUCUAUAUUUUUUGUUAUUGUUAUUAUUUUAUCUCAAUGUUAUAUUUAAGUGAAAUGGCUUUUUUUGACUAAUUUGUGGCUCACAAUGAAGUCAUGAAAUUUUAAAAAUGAUCUCAAACUAACUGCUAAUGA